CAACGUCCGGCGUACUUUCUUUAAAAUUGUGCUGAACGAGGUACUUGUUGCCAGAACUUCCGUUUAGAUCAGACAGACAAAAUGAAGAAUGAAUAUAGGAUAUGAAGUGCCUAACAGUUCACGUUCUCUGAAUAAAAAUAAAAUAUUGCAAGAAAGAACGUCUUAUGGAAGAUAAACAAGAAAUUUAAAAGAAAACACAAGAUUUUUUCCCCCUUCUUAACUUUUUUAUAGUUUAAAUUAGCAUGAUUUAGUCUAUAAGUUGCUAUAAAAAAUAAAUUUUUUUCAGUACCUGUAAUCAGUGUAAUGUUUCUUGUGUGUUUAAAAAUACAAUGAUCAUUUCUAGGUGUAAAAUAUAACUCUCUUUGUUUUUUGAAAUGAAUUAUUUCAGAUUACUCCGACAUAUUCAAAUUCGAGCAACGUAACGAAGAGUAUAAAGUCGAUAAGAUUUUAUAAUUUCACAAGACUUCAGUUUGAAAUUAUCUCUCUUGAGUAGGCCUACUUCUUAUGUUGGGUACGCAUUCGAGCAUGCACACGAAUGAGACAUGGUGAGGCUGUGCGGAAUUCCUCAUUUUGCCUCGGGCUGGAGAUGCCAAUGCUUUGAAUGUCGAGGCAAAUAUUUGGCAUUGUUCUGUACCUACAAAUGUCUGCUAAAACACAACAAUGCCAAGCAUGAAUUCUCUUUGAUAGACUGAUGGUGUUUUGCUCGGCCCGAGAUUGUUUUCCAUGCCUCGGACUGACAUCCACAUUCAUGUGACAUUACCAUAUCUCAUUUGGGUGUGUACCGAAAUGCUUACCUGCCAUUUUAUCUAAAAUUUUUAUUGGUUUAUGAUAUAUUUAAAAUUAUAAUGUCACAGAAGAAGUGCGUGACCCUGAAAAAUUCAAAAAAUAAAAUUUAAAUCUACUCGAGCCGUGUAAAAUCACAACUAGAAAUAUGAGUGUGGUUCUAUGGUUAUAUUAUGGAAUCUUAGUGUAUUUAGUAUAUUUCAAAUUUUUAUACUUCUCUAGUAGAUUUUAUACAAGCAUAUAUAUUAAUUAUUUGACAUAAUUAUUUUUCAGUAUUGUUAAAAAAAUUAAUAUAUAUUACUUAUAACAAUCUAUAUAAUUAAAUAAGUUUUG